rnacentral:lncRNA from 1 species
AAGACUACAAAUGCGUUUGCAUUGUCUGACUUAGCUUCUAGAAUUCUUGCCCUCUGCCAUGAGAAUCAUGUGUUUCAAAUAGUAACUGCUUCUUUUAUCUUGGGUUGCAGAUUGUGAAGACAGAAGAAGUCAACCUGAAAACAAACCACAGUUUGGAAUCAAGCCAAGGAUCAUCGGAAAGUACAGAAAAUCUGACCAUUCCUAAGAAGAAGAGUUGGAUUUACUCUCCUUAGGAUUUAAGGCCAAGUUCAAUAAAUAGUGAGUCACUGUACCUGCUACAUUAUUUUAUGUCCGAAAGCUAGAAAUGACAUAGCUUACUAUAUUCCUCCUACCCAGUGUUUCUCUAGCCUGUGCUAGACAAAUUCGGAGUUGGAAAUCUACUACAUUUUUGGGGAGUGCUCAUGGUUAGGGAGCUCUACCUUAUAUUAAGCUGAAAUCUGCUUUCUUGAAAGUGAUUA